rnacentral:rRNA from 1 species
GUGCCAGCCGCCGCGGUAAUACCGGCAGCUCAAGUGAUGUCCCAUAUUAUUGGGCCUAAAGCGUCCGUAGCUGGCCGACCAAGUCUCCCGGGAAAUCCACUCGCUUAACGAGUGGGCGUCCGGCGAAAACUGUGCGGCUUGGGACCGGAAGAUCCAAGGGGUACGUCCGGGGUAGGAGUGAAAUCCCGUAAUCCUGGACGGACCACCGAUGGCGAAAGCACCUUGGAAGGACGGAUCCGACAGUGAGGGACGAAAGCUAGGGUCUCGAACCGGAUUAGAUACCCCGUAGC